CCUACGGGUGGCAGCAGUAGGGAAUCUUCCACAAUGGGCGAAAGCCUGAUGCAGCCACGCCGCGUGGGUGAAGAAGGUCUUCGGAUCGUAAAACCCUUUUGUUAGAGAAGAAAGUGCGUGAGAGUAUCUGCUCACGUUUCUACGUUAUCUAACAAGAAAGCCACGGCUAACUACGUCCCAGCAGCCGCGGUAAUACGUAGGGGGCAAGCGUUAUUCGGUUUUAUUGGGCGUAAAGGGCACGCAGGUGGGUCUUUAAGUCAGAUGUGAAAGCUCUGGGCUUAACCGGGGCAGUGCAUUGGAAACUGGGAGACUCGAGUGCAGAAGAGGAGGGUGGAAUUCGAUGUGUAGCGGUGAAAUGCGUAGAUAUAUGGAAGAACACCAGUGGCGAAGGCGGCACUCUGGUCUGUAACUGACGCUGAGGUUCGAAAGCGUGGGUAGCAAACAGGAUUAGAUACCCUAGUAGUC
rnacentral:rRNA from 1 species